rnacentral:rRNA from 1 species
CAGGCUUAACACAUGCAAGUCGAGGGGCAGCAUGGUCUUAGCUUGCUAAGGCCGAUGGCGACCGGCGCACGGGUGAGUAACACGUAUCCAACCUGCCGUCUACUCUUGGACAGCCUUCUGAAAGGAAGAUUAAUACAAGAUGGCAUCAUGAGUCCGCAUGUUCACAUGAUUAAAGGUAUUCCGGUAGACGAUGGGGAUGCGUUCCAUUAGAUAGUAGGCGGGGUAACGGCCCACCUAGUCUUCGAUGGAUAGGGGUUCUGAGAGGAAGGUCCCCCACAUUGGAACUGAGACACGGUCCAAACUCCUACGGGAGGCAGCAGUGAGGAAUAUUGGUCAAUGGGCGAGAGCCUGAACCAGCCAAGUAGCGUGAAGGAUGACUGCCCUAUGGGUUGUAAACUUCUUUUAUAAAGGAAUAAAGUCGGGUAUGGAUACCCGUUUGCAUGUACUUUAUGAAUAAGGAUCGGCUAACUCCGUGCCAGCAGCCGCGGUAAUACGGAGGAUCCGAGCGUUAUCCGGAUUUAUUGGGUUUAAAGGGAGCGUAGAUGGAUGUUUAAGUCAGUUGUGAAAGUUUGCGGCUCAACCGUAAAAUUGCAGUUGAUACUGGAUAUCUUGAGUGCAGUUGAGGCAGGCGGAAUUCGUGGUGUAGCGGUGAAAUGCUUAGAUAUCACGAAGAACUCCGAUUGCGAAGGCAGCCUGCUAAGCUGCAACUGACAUUGAGGCUCGAAAGUGUGGGUAUCAAACAGGAUUAGAUACCCUGGUAGUCCACACGGUAAACGAUGAAUACUCGCUGUUUGCGAUAUACUGCAAGCGGCCAAGCGAAAGCGUUAAGUAUUCCACCUGGGGAGUACGCCGGCAACGGUGAAACUCAAAGGAAUUGACGGGGGCCCGCACAAGCGGAGGAACAUGUGGUUUAAUUCGAUGAUACGCGAGGAACCUUACCCGGGCUUAAAUUGCAGAUGAAUUACGGUGAAAGCCGUAAGCCGCAAGGCAUCUGUGAAGGUGCUGCAUGGUUGUCGUCAGCUCGUGCCGUGAGGUGUCGGCUUAAGUGUCAUAACGAGCGCAACCCUUGUUGUCAGUUACUAACAGGUUCCGCUGAGGACUCUGACAAGACUGCCAUCGUAAGAUGUGAGGAAGGUGGGGAUGACGUCAAAUCAGCACGGCCCUUACGUCCGGGGCUACACACGUGUUACAAUGGGGGGUACAGAGGGCCGCUACCACGCGAGUGGAUGCCAAUCCCCAAAACCUCUCUCAGUUCGGACUGGAGUCUGCAACCCGACUCCACGAAGCUGGAUUCGCUAGUAAUCGCGCAUCAGCCACGGCGCGGUGAAUACGUUCCCGGGCCUUGUACACACCGCCCGUCAAGCCAUGGGAGCCGGGGGUACCUGAAGUGCGUAACCGCGAGGAGCGCCCUAGGGUAAAACUGGUGACUGGGGCUAAGUC